UACGUUGGCAGCGAGCGUUGUUCGGAGUUACUGGGCGUAAAGGGUGUGUAGGCGGUUGUUUAAGUUUGGUGUGAAAUCUCCCGGCUCAACUGGGAGGGUGCGCCGAAUACUGAAUGACUUGGAGUGCGGGAGAGGUGAGUGGAAUUCCUGGUGUAGCGGUGAAAUGCGUAGAUAUCAGGAGGAACACCGGUGGUGUAGACGGCUCACUGGACCGUAACUGACGCUGAGACACGAAAGCGUGGGUAGCAAACAGG
rnacentral:rRNA from 1 species